rnacentral:rRNA from 1 species
GGGUCAGUAGGUUGGUCGUGCCACCGGUACGUACUGGUCUCACUGAUUCCUCCUUCCUGAAGAACCGUAAUGCCAUUAAUUUGGUGUUGCGGGGAAACAGGACUGUUACUUUGAAAAAAUUAGAGUGUUUAAAGCAAGCUAACGCUUGAAUACAUUAGCAUGGAAUAAUGAAAUAGGACGAUUGAUCCUAUUUUGAUGGUUUCUAGGAUUGACGUA